rnacentral:rRNA from 1 species
AUUGAACGCUGGCGGCAGGCCUAACACAUGCAAGUCGAGCGGAUGAAGGGAGCUUGCUCCUUGAUUCAGCGGCGGACGGGUGAGUAAUGCCUAGGAAUCUGCCUGGUAGUGGGGGAUAACGUCCGGAAACGGGCGCUAAUACCGCAUACGUCCUGAGGGAGAAAGUGGGGGAUCUUCGGACCUCACGCUAUCAGAUGGGCCUAGGUCGGAUUAGCUAGUUGGUGGGGUAAAGGCCUACCAAGGCGACGAUCCGUAACUGGUCUGAGAGGAUGACCAGUCACACUGGAACUGAGACACGGUCCAGACUCCUACGGGAGGCAGCAGUGGGGAAUAUUGGACAAUGGGCGAAAGCCUGAUCCAGCCAUGCCGCGUGUGUGAAGAAGGUCUUCGGAUUGUAAAGCACUUUAAGUUGGGAGGAAGGGCAGUAAGUUAAUACCUUGCUGUUUUGACGUUACCAACAGAAUAAGCACCGGCUAACUUCGUG